UUUUGUUUUAAAGUCCAUAGAAAGUGUCAGGGCCUCUUCUAGGCAUGGACACAAAGUCAGCUUCAAACUCAUCUUCAGAGGCCUAAGAGUUAUGCAACCGUAAAAUGAAUGGGCAACUGUUACCUUGGGUUUAGAAUAAGGUCUUUUUUUGUUGUUGUUUUUUUUAAAUUUUGGUAGAGGAGGUAGGUUGCUUGCAAACUGCUGCUUUUGUUGAUGUGGUGAGUUCAGAGAAGCCAGCCAGAGUUCUGAGAACAGAACACACGUCAUCUCCUAUAACCUGAUCCUUAGGUUCUCACUAUAACUUCAGCAUGUUGAACAAUAGUGUUUCUGGGAAGACUUACAAUUACAGAAAUUUGUUUCUUUUUAGGAUACAUAAUCUCUGCUGCCGCCAUUAGACACAUUCAAAAAUAAAUUAAUAAUCCAUUAAAGGUAUCGAUGCUUGGGCAAUUAGUUUAUUUAAUAUUUGAUGUGCCUCAUAUCCUCUAGUUUAUUUAUAUUAAAAAAACAAACAGUUGAAAUUUUCAUCUUCUUUUAGUGCAUUAAGCUUUCAUCAAGCCUUUUAGGUUAAUUGGUCACAGUUUUUGCUUUGUUUCUGUGGUUGUGUCAUGAUGGUAUCUUAAGUUGUCUUCUUUUGAUAGAGACACACUUUUUCCUACAAUAAAUAUAUAGGAAUAUUUUUACAUGUUGAAAUAAAUAGGUUUUCCCCAUUUUUCUUGAAACACAAAAAUGCUUGGUCUGGCUUCCAUUCCCCCACACAUGAGGCAAAUAUAUGUAAGAAAUAGUUCAUUUCCCUCUGCUCUUGAAAAGAAAAAGUAGCACAUCCACACUGAUAAAUGCAAACUGAUAUUUGGCCUUGAGUUAAGGCGGCAACAUGGAAUAGCAGAGACUGUGGCAAACUGGUGAGUGGGCACCGUGUUAAAGGACACAGCUGCUGCUCAGGUUUAGCCCAUGUUGCCCUUUGGGAAUGUGGGCCCAUUGUUGGAAAAGCUUCCAAAUUUUCAAGAGAUACUGUCACUCCAAAUUCUUGUGUGAAAUCGCCUGGCAUUUAAAGGUCAAAUCUUAUUAGGGGCGCCUGGGUGGCUCAGUCAGUUAAUCCUCCAACUUUGGCUCAGGUCAUGAUCUCACAGUUUGUGGGUUUGAACCCUGUGUCGGGCUCUGUGCUGACAGCUCAGAGCCUGGAGCCUGCUUCGGAUUCUGUGUCUCCCUUUCUCUCUGCCCCUCCCCUGCUUGCACUCUGUCUCUCUGUCUCUCAAUAAUAAAUACAUGUUAAAAAAAAAAAGAUUUAAAGGUCGGUCUUAUCGGAUAUGUCACUUACAAAUAUCUUCUCUCAUUCCAUAGGUUGCCUCUUAGUUUUGUUGAUUGUUUCCUUCACUCUGCAGAAGCAUUUUAUUUUGAUGAAGUCCCAAUAGUUCAUUUUUGCUUUUGUUUCCCUGGCCUCAGGAGACGUAUCUAGAAAGAAGUUGCUGUGGCCGAGGUCAAAGAUGUUACUGCCUGUGUUCUCCUCUAAGAUUUCGAUCGUUUCCUGUCUCAUAUUUAGGUCUUUCAUCUAUUUUGAAUUUAGUUUUGUGUACGGUGUGAGAAGGUGGUCCAGUUUCAUUCUUUUACACGUUGUUGUUCAGGUUUCCCAAAACCAUCUGUUGAAGACUGUUUUUUUCCCGUUAGCUAGUCUUUCCUGCUUUGUCGAAGAUUAAUUGACCGUAUAGUUGUGGGUUUAUUUCUGGGUUUUCUAUUCUGUUACUAUGAUCUAUGUGUCUGUUGUUGUGCCAGUAUCAUACUGUCUUGAUUACUACAGUUUUGUAAUAUAACUUGAAGUCCAGAAUGGUGAUGCCCCCGGCUUUGCUUCUUUUUCAAGACUGCUUUGACUAUUCGAGGUCUUUUGUGGUUCCAUACACAUUUUAGAAUUGUUUGUUUUAGUUCUAUGAAAAAUGCCAUUGGUAUUAAAAUCAAAACUUAAAAAAAGAGUGCCUUCUCUAAUAAAAAGUAAACGAAUAAAGGUCAGUCUUAGACAAACAAUGAAACACCGUUUAGGCCAAACAAAAUUGAUCGGAGGCUGAGUUUAAGUUGGGAGCUGCCACAUGCUGGGGCUUAAUGGUAUGUGGAACAGACACCCAGGGUUCCAGCACCGUGUGCUGUGUGGGAGAAUGAGAGCCACGCCGGCCAAGCAGAACCACACCUGGGGCACUUCCACAGUCUGCCGGACACCACAGCAGCACAGCCAGGCAGUUGACCUGUGGGCCCAGCCCUCUGUUGAGGGAGAAGUGACACUGUGGCGGGCCACUCGGACUCCACUGUGCUCUGCACUCGGAAGCAAAUGCCUUUGGACUGGCUGGAUUCCUGCAUGCCUGGAUCAUGCAGGGAAACCUCAAGAAGGAGAUGGCAGGCUUCCUUUUUUAUAAUUCUGGAACUACCCGAGUUGCUGGAGAUGCUGUUUUGGACAAGAUAGAAAAGCGAGCCCCUGGUCCUCAUGGAGCCCACAUCCUUACAGAAUAUCAAAAUUAGACAGAGUCAGUCUGUGACCAUGAUGGAUCAAGGCAAGAACGAGCCCACCCACAACGAUGUCUGAAUAAAAAACAUGAAUAUGGUGCAUACUACAAGAAAAGUCACGUCCUGGCUGAGAGGAAGAGUUAUGAUGGCAGAGAAGUAGGGGGACCAGGAUUUCCCUUAACCCACAACACGGCAGUAUUGAGGUCAGAACACCUGGAACACCCACAAAGUCAGUCUGCAGAGUGACAGAAAAAUGUCCACAGGUGGAGGGAGACAGCUUGGAGGGACUGAGGUGCGUGUAUGCAAAUUGGGGGAGACCAAACAGUGUGGGCACGGAGGGGAGGGAACCCCUUCUGCCAGAGACAAAAGGGAGAGAAAGAGAAGCUGUGGAUUGCAGUAUUGUUAGUACAAGAGAAAAACCUCUCCGGACCCUGGACAGGGGAAUGAGAAAUACAGAGUGUGCCAGUUUCUACUUUGUGAACGGUCUUAGGAGCUGAAGGCUGGAGUUCUCAAAAGUGCGGGACUUUCUCCUGACUGAGGACUCUGACCUGACCCCUGGCCUGGGGAGGUGGGGAGCCAGCCCUGGGGCAUAGUAGCCAUCUCAGGGGUGCACUGUGAGCAAACGGUCUCCUGCCUUCAGUACUGUGGGAAGAGGGUAUAUUGCCCCCAACAAGGACGAAAGAGCCUGCAGGCCGCACCAGCCAAUGGGCAGGGCAGAGUGGCACUACCCCGGAACCUGGUCCAUGUGGUGUGGGAUCCUUUAAGACAUCAGGUUCUGAAUCCUCACUGAGGGCCCAGGAGGCGCAGGGGACGGUGCCGCAGGACAAGCCACCUGCCGGUGCCACUCUGUGAGGGCUGCCUCGAGAGUGUGGUGUGAGACGCGUGGUCCGGGGAGGAGAGAUUGGGGUGUGGCCGUCUUUCUCCCAAUCACCAACAGGGUGUGGCUUCAGGGAAGGGACAGCGACGCCCAGAGGAGGUGGGACCCACUUACACCAUCCCUGCCUCUCCAUGCCUGGUAACUGCUUAUCUCCUGGAUUGGGACUGACACUGAUCUAACGGGACAGCUUCUCUUCCAGACGUGUGCAGCCACUGGUCCCAGGCACCAACAGAUGACUGUCCACAGGUUUAGUAUUACCACACAACAGAUUACUGUUCUUCAGUAGUAAGAUCUGAAGUCAGGAAGCUGACUUCCUCAGAUCUUGUCUCAUCUACAUAGCUGAAGAAGGAAUGGUUGUGUGAAUAUCAAUAUGGUAUUGAUAAAUGCCCGAAAAGCCUCUGACAAUGUGUUUUCCAAUCAGAAGGUUUGAACUUGAAACUCUCUCACAAAAAGUGAGUAAAACCUCUUUUCUCUCCAAGAGACUUUACUGUAACUACUACCAUGAGACAUUUUGUGAAAAGGGGGAUAAUGUUUUUUUCCUCACUUUUGUAUUUUCCACAUCUCGUAUUCUGCAUGGCACAUAGUAGUGUAUUCAGUAAAUAUUUGUUGAAUUAACAAAAUGUAAACAUGUUAACUUUUCUCUCCAAUAAGCAUUAGCACUACUGUUGGUGAAAGCAGUAUUAACAAGAUAACUUUUAGAUAAUUAUAAAUUGUAAAUGACAUGUGACUAAGUUUCUACUGCCAAAUAUAGAUUAUUUUUGCUUAUAUUAAUAUAUUUUAAAAGAUAAUAAAAGUUGUCUCAUAGUGGUCA